rnacentral:rRNA from 1 species
GACGAACGCUGGCGGCGUGCUUAACACAUGCAAGUCGAACGGAAAGGCCUGCUUUCCCUUGUGGAUUGCGGGUACUCGAGUGGCGAACGGGUGAGUAACACGUGAGUGAUCUGCCCCCAACUUGGGUAUAAGCCUGGGAAACUGGGUCUAAUUCCCGAUAGGACUGCAGGGUGGUGCCUGUGGUGGAAAACGAUUUUCUAGUGGUUGGGGCUGAGCUCGCGGCCUAUCAGCUUGUUGGUGGGGUAAUGGCCUACCAAGGCGGCGACGGGUAGCCGGCCUGGGAGGGUGGACGGCCACAUUGGGACUGAGAUACGGCCCAGACUCCUACGGGAGGCAGCAGUGGGGAAUAUUGCACAAUGGGCGGAAGCCUGAUGCAGCGACGCCGCGUGAGGGAUGACGGCCUGCGGGUUGUAAACUCCUUUCGACCGCGAGGAAGCCACCUGGAUGGAAGGGUGGUGACGGUAGUGGUAGAAGAAGCACCGGCUAACUACGUG